CGGGGAAGGCGCCUCGGCGGCUCGCCGCCGCUCGCGGGCGGAUGUGCAGCGGACAGCUUGGCUGGGGGAUUGAAUGAAAGCAGGUCAGUUCAUAAAGCGAGCUGAACUUCCACCUCUUUCUUUGGGGUUUUGUCGAGUCGAGUAACGAAGGCUGUGGAAACGCUGUUGAAGGGCAGAUCGUUCCCCUUGUGCAGGCUGUUAGUGAAAAGAGCGUGCUGCGUUCAUCCAGAUACCUCUGCUGCUGGAGGACCUGCAGGUGCAUCGCUUUUCUUCUAACAGGAGACAGAAUAAAGAAAAUCAACUGAACAAGAGAAGACAAUAGUACCGCAGUGGUGUCGCCCCUCUUACCGGCGAUCACAAGUGGAUGUUUCUUCUCACGAGGACAGACAGUGAAGUUCUGGCCCUCUUUCAUUCCCCUUAACUUCUAGGAAGAGGACUCCUGUGCUACGUAUGUCGCAAACAGUCUUUGUGAGGGCUGUGAGGCCAGAAAUAAAUGCCAUCAAAGGUGAAACAGUUCAUCUCAUGGAGCUGAUAUUAUGUGCCCAAGUACUGGACUCUUCUCAGCCCCCGAUCUCUACGAUGAGUGGGAUAGGCUGUGUAUCACUUCAUUUAUGCUGUUUCACACUGACUGGUAAGUUUUCAAAGCAGCAUAAGAAAGGUAGUAUGCUUCCACAAAUAUUACUACUUUUAUAUAGGAUAUUAAUAUUUGUUGCCCCACUAUUUUAACAGUUAAUUCGUUAUAUAAAAGUAUUUUACCACACUUGCUUUUCUUACAUGUUAUGCCCAGGAAUUUGKUUUUUUUCCUCAUUAAAUCCU
rnacentral:lncRNA from 1 species